GGCGCUUUAGCUCAGUCGGUAGAGCAGAGGAUUGAAAAUCCUCGUGUCCCCAGUUCGAUUCUGGGAGGCGCCACCA
rnacentral:tRNA from 2 species